GCGGCAGGCUUAACACAUGCAAGUCGAGGGGUAACAGGGAGAAGCUUGCUUUUCCGCUGACGACCGGCGCACGGGUGCGUAACGCGUAUAGAACCUACCUUUUACAGAGGAAUAGCCCAGAGAAAUUUGGAUUAAUGCCUCAUAGUAUUAUAGAAUGGCAUCAUUUUAUAAUUAAACAUUUAUGGGUAAAAGAUGGCUAUGCGUUCUAUUAGCUAGUUGGUAAGGUAACGGCUUACCAAGGCUACGAUAGAUAGGGGUCCUGAGAGGGAGAUCCCCCACACUGGUACUGAGACACGGACCAGACUCCUACGGGAGGCAGCAGUGAGGAAUAUUGGACAAUGGAGGCAACUCUGAUCCAGCCAUGCCGCGUGCAGGAAGACGGCCCUAUGGGUUGUAAACUGCUUUUAUAUAGGAAGAAACCUUUCCACGUGUGGAAAGCUGACGGUACUAUAAGAAUAAGCACCGGCUAACUCCGUGCCAGCAGCCGCGGUAAUACGGAGGGUGCAAGCGUUAUCCGGAAUCAUUGGGUUUAAAGGGUCCGUAGGCGGACUAAUAAGUCAGGGGUGAAAUCCAACAGCUUAACUGUUGAACUGCCUUUGAUACUGUUAGUCUUGAAUUAUAUGGAAGUAGAUAGAAUGUGUAGUGUAGCGGUGAAAUGCUUAGAGAUUACACAGAAUACCGAUUGCGAAGGCAGUCUACUACGUAUA
rnacentral:rRNA from 1 species